CCAGACUCCUACGGGAGGCAGCAGUGGGGAAUACUGCACAAUGGGGGAAACCCUGAUGCAGCAACGCCGCGUGAGUGAUGACGGCCUUCGGGUUGUAAAGCUCUGUCUUCAGGGACGAUAAUGACGGUACCUGAGGAGGAAGCCACGGCUAACUACGUGCCAGCAGCCGCGGUAAUACGUAGGGAGCAAGCGUUAUCCGGAAUUAUUGGGUGUAAAGGGUGCGUAGACGGGAUAACAAGUUGGUUGUGAAACCCCUCGGCUCAACUGAGGAACUGCAACCAAAACUAUUAUUCUUGAGUGCAGGAGAGGAAAGUGGAAUUCCUAGUGUAGCGGUGAAAUGCGUAGAUAUUAGGAAGAACACCGGUGGCGAAGGCGACUUUCUGGACUGUAACUGACGUUGAGGCACGAAAGUGUGGGGAGCAAACAGGAUUAGAUACCCCCGUA
rnacentral:rRNA from 1 species